CAGGUGUUCCAGCUCAAGCACACCUGAUGCAACUAAUUAAGGACUUCAUUAGUUGUACCAGGUGUGCUUGAGCUGGAGCACAUG